GACAACUCGAUCAACCUGUUUAUCUGGAAAAAAUUGAAAGUCGUGGGAUGAGACUACUAAACCUCAGUGAGUUCCUACUACCCAACUAAUGGUGACUACACCGGGGGCAACUGAACUAAUAGUUUCUAUCCCCGACUUAAUCCUGAUACAUAAUCCUGAUAACAUAAUUUCAUAAUAUACAAUGAAUAAAUGGUGUAACACACAAAUUAUUAUCUUGUUCAUUUUAUCCUUUAGGUCACCCCGAGGUGAGUAUCUUGGAAUGCCUACUUACCCGUCUGCGAUAAUAGUGUACGUCGCCACGGUCAUACCUCACAUUUAUUAAUCAUUAACAUUCUUGGAUUCCUAAUAAUAUACGGGAAUCAAUCAUAACAUGAUUUGUAGUGCAACGCAUCCACAACAUAACUGAUCAACUUCGUAAUCAUAUGUUGUUUUGUUAACCAUCAUAACCCAACCCGGGGAAACCUAAUGGAUCCACAUGAUCCAUGCAUAACAAAUACUAAGUUCUUGUUCAAUUUCACCUAAGUUUCUUGGUCCAUGAAUCUUUGGGGAAUUUAUAACUAAAUCCAAUCAUUCCCAACAUUAGGUACUGAUUUAAUAAUUUCUAGGUGUCUUGAAAUAGCUAAAACUACGCUUAAGAGAUGCAAACAUUAUGUAAAUUAAUUUGAUGAUCAAUUGGAACUUAAAACGAGUGUUUUUCAGUGUCAAAAAUAGUAAGAAUCCAUUCCCUAAUCAUACUUAAAAACAGACUCGCGAACCGAUCCAAAACAGUCGAAAAAGUGCAGUUUUUCCAGCUUCCGACAGUGGCCGAUCGAUUGACCNNNNNNNNNNNNNNNNNNNNNNNNNNNNNNNNNNNNNNCAGAGGGUCCCUGCCAAUCGAUUGGUGCAUUUUUUUAGCCAAAAACGAAAUUAAAAACAUCACCUAAAAUCCCAAUUCAUCACAAUCAUAUUUUGCAACUCUUAUACAUAAUUUUAACACAUUGAUGAGCCUAAGGGAUUGAAGCAUCAUCACACACCACUUAAUCCAACUACAUAGUAAGCAAGGGGAAAAGGGUUAAGCUUAUCUAUGCAUAACCAUGUUCAUCAAACAUUAUUGAUGACCGGGAAAGCUAAUACUCCAAUGUAAAUGUAUCUAGGACUUGGUUACUAAUUAAACUACUUAAUGGCCAAUUAAAUAGGUAAUGCUAAUACCUAAAGGAACCCACCUGUGAUGUCCAGCAAUUCCAAGCUGUUCCACACGCUCUUAAACAUCCGUUCGUGUCGCUCAAAUACACAACUUCUGUGACUGAUUUUUCUGCAUAAUCAGCUUCAGACCUCCAACUUUAAACGCGUCCACAGAGCUCAUCCCUAAUCCAAAAUUUACAAAUACGUCAGAUUUCCAUAGAAAUAGACGGCAUCUCAAUCGGAAUUACAGAGAAAGAGCAGUUACCUUUUUAGUGAGGGUCUGUCCCCAAAUACGGGUUUUCACUUAAACUCUUCCAAAAAUCACCAAUCCAAUCUUUAAGCCUCAAACCCAAACUCAGACCUUUAAGCUUCGUAUUCCUCUUCAAAUCCUUGUUUUUCCAGUUCCAUUAUACUUAUCAAAAGUUGCUGGUUCCAUUCAAAUUCACAUGCAAAUACCCAAAAAUAUUAGUAAUUGAUUUUAGAAGGCUCUCAAGUAUGAAAGGAGAAUGAAACAACCAUAGAAAGAAGAUAUG
rnacentral:lncRNA from 1 species